UCUCAAGCGUGAGGUAAGGGCAAUUCGUGGAUGCCUUGGCAUGUACAGGCGAUGAAGGACGUGUCACGCUGCGAUAAGCGUCGGUGAGGUGUGAGCAACCUUUGACCCGACGAUUUCCGAAUGGGGAAACCCACCUAUCCGUUUAAUCUCGACCGUUGUUCGCAAGGACGGCGAGCGGGGUUAGGCGGUUCAGGUAUCUCUUAACUGAAU
rnacentral:rRNA from 1 species